GGGGAGUUUUUGGAGAAGGGACUCCUGUUUUCAGUCUCAACUGUAGUCUGUUCCCCUUUUGGAGAAGCGGAGAUGAUUUCCCACUUUCCUAGAGAGUCUCUCCUGGCCGCGGCGCGGUCUGGUGACGUCACGACAGGUGGCGCGUCUGAUGCGCGUUCCGGGCGGCCUGGGAGCGCGGCGGGGGAGCGCCUGUAAGAAAAGACUCUAGUUUUCAAACCUAGAGAUUUCUCAAUUGGACCUAGUGGAAGAGCUAUAGAUACUGAAUGUUUUGGAAGAAAGAGUGGUACAAAACACUGCUUCAGGUGAGUGAAUAAGGAAGGAUUGACCAAGCUGGACCUAGUGAAACUUAGUCUGGAUCACCUUUGAAUCUUAAAAGGAAGCUCUUCAGU
rnacentral:lncRNA from 1 species